UCUUUGACUGUGUAUAGCUGUGAGCAAACACAUGCAUUAGGUGCACAACAGUUCGCAGUGAACUCAACGGCUGAUAUUCCGUAAAGCAGCGAUGAUGUGCCGAGUAUACACAAAGCGUGAAUUGUUCUAAUACGCGUUACUGAAGUCGUAUUGGCAUUAAACAACCAUUAGGUAUUAAAUAAACAACCAAUAUAAAUGUGUAUGGAAAGGGGAAUAGAACUAUGAAUAGUAAUGCAUUUUUAAGAUGAAAAGCAAUCAAGAUUCUUAGUUUUUUUUCUAAUUUUGUGUUGAUCCAUUUAAUAUAACCGUCGGAGUUUAUGUUUGUAGAAUGACGCAAAGCACAUGAUGCAAGUAGACGACGCAAUUUAAAGCGACCUUUCAUAGAAGUAUACAUCAUAUCUUGAUCCGUCUUGAUUCGCAUUUUGGAGGAAAAACAAAAACAAAUCAUGUACGAAUAGAAAAAUUUCAAUAAAGUUGUCAAAUUCAAACUUCAA